GCAGACACAUUCCAGCCAAUCAGCAGCAGACCCUCCCUCCCAGACCCUCCCACCUCCUGGACAGCAUCCAUUUUGAAGCUGCAUUCUUAGUGAGCUGUCCAGGAGGUGGGAGGGUCUGGGAGAGAGGGUCUGCUGCUGAUUGGCUGGAAUGUGUCUG
rnacentral:miRNA from 1 species